rnacentral:rRNA from 1 species
CCUACGGGUGGCAGCAGUGAGGAAUAUUGGUCAAUGGGCGCAAGCCUGACCCAGCCACGUAGCGUGAAGGAUGACUGCCCUACGGGUUGUAAACUUCUUUUAUAAAGGCAUAAAGUGAGGCACGUGUGCCUUUUUGUAUGUACUUUAUGAAUAAGGAUCGGCUAACUCCGAGCCAGCAGCCGCGGUAAUACGGAGGAUCCGAGCGUUAUCCGGAUUUAUUGGGGGUAAAGGGAGCGUAGAUGGGUGGUUAAGUCAGUUGUGAAAGUUUGCGGCUCAACCGUAAGAUUGCAAUUGAUACUGGCAGUCUUGAGUACAGGUGAGGUAGGCGGAAUUCGGGGUGUAGCGGUGAAAUGCUUAGAUAUCACGAAGAACUCCGAUUGCGAAGGCAGCUUACUAAACUGCCACUGACAUUGAUGCUCGAAAGUGUGGGUAUCAAACAGGAUUAGAUACCCCAGUAGUC